rnacentral:rRNA from 1 species
AAUGGGCGAAAGCCUGACGGAGCAAGACCGCGUGGGGGAAGAAGGCUCUUGGGUUGUAAACCCCUUUUCUCAGGGAAGAAGAACUGACGGUACCUGAGGAAUAAGCAUCGGCUAACUCCGUGCCAGCAGCCGCGGUAAGACGGAGGAUGCAAGCGUUAUCCGGAAUUAUUGGGCGUAAAGCGUUCGUAGGUGGCUGUUCAAGUCUGCCGUUAAAGACCGGGGCUUAACUCCGGAAAAACUGUGGAAACUGAACAGCUAGAGUAUGGUAGGGGUAAGGGGAAUUCCUGGUGUAGCGGUGAAAUGCGUAGAUAUCAGGAAGAACACCGGUGGCGAAGGCGCCUUACUGGGCCAUAACUGACACUGAGGGACGAAAGCUAGGGGAGCGAAAGGGAUUAGAUACCCC